CGAGCCUUCCCUUUUGAAAGCGAGGCUAACAGCGAAUCGAAGCGAGGCUGGAUGUCUGCAAAGAGUUUGCCCACCAACUUACACUGGUUCUAU